rnacentral:rRNA from 1 species
UGGGGAAUCUUGCGCAAUGGGCGAAAGCCUGACGCAGCAACGCCGCGUGUGUGAUGAAGGUCUUCGGAUCGUAAAGCACUGUCGCGAGGGACGAAUAAGGGGCGGGCUAACAUCCCGUUCCGAUGACGGUACCUCGAGAGGAAGCACCGGCUAACUCUGUGCCAGCAGCCGCGGUAAUACAGAGGGUGCAAGCGUUGUUCGGAAUUAUUGGGCGUAAAGCGCGUGUAGGCGGCUUUGUAAGUUGGGUGUGAAAGCCCUCGGCUUAACCGAGGAAGUGCGCCCAAAACUGCAUCGCUUGAGUACCGGAGAGGGUGGCGGAAUUCCCGGUGUAGAGGUGAAAUUCGUAGAUAUCGGGAGGAACACCAGCGGCGAAGGCGGCCACCUGGACGGAUACUGACGCUGAGACGCGAAAGCGUGGGGAGCAAACA